UACGGAGGGUGCAAGCGUUAUCCGGAUUCACUGGGUUUAAAGGGUGCGUAGGUGGGCUGGUAAGUCGGGUGUGAAACCUCCAGGCUCAACCUGGAGACGCCACCCGAUACUGUCGUGACUAGAGUCCAGUAGGGGAGCGUGGAAUUCCUGGUGUAGCGGUGAAAUGCGCAGAUAUCAGGAGGAACACCAGCGGCGAAGGCGGCGCUCUGGGCUGGCACUGACACUGAGGAGCGAAAGCGUGGGGAGCGAACAGG
rnacentral:rRNA from 1 species